GGGCGAUUGGUGUAGUGGCUAUCACAUUCGCUUUGCAUGCGAAAGGUCACGUGUUCGAUCCACGUAUCGUCCA
rnacentral:tRNA from 1 species